GACGAACGCUGGCGGCGUGCCUAAUACAUGCAAGUAGAACGAGCGGCGGACGGGUGAGUAAUGUCUGGGAAACUGCCUGAUGGAGGGGGAUAACUACUGGAAACGGUAGCUAAUACCGCAUACCAUCAGAUGUGCCCAGAUGGGAUUAGCUAGUAGGUGGGGUAACGGCUCACCUAGGCUACGAUCCCUAGCUGGUCUGAGAGGAUGACCAGCCACACUGGAACUGAGACACGGUCCAGACUCCUACGGGAGGCAGCAGUGGGGAAUAUUGCACAAUGGGCGCAAGCCUGAUGCAGCCAUGCCGCGUGUAUGAAGAAGGCCUUCGGGUUGUAAAGUACUUUCAGCGGGGAGGCGUUACCCGCAGAAGAAGCACCGGCUAACUCCGUGCCAGCAGCCGCGGUAAUAC
rnacentral:rRNA from 1 species